CGCUACUUCUCUUUGCUCUAACCCGUCGGAUAGCUGUGGCAAUUCUGAGCACAUAAUUGGGUGUACUGAGGUGACCUAAGCUGGAAACUGUAUCGGCACCGCCCGAUUGUCCUGUAAACCAUUUAUCUGUCAGCCUGGCAGAGGGCAUACUUGACAGAGACAAGACAGAAAAGUGGUCAAAAUCAAAUCCAUACAAUAUUAUUCCAUAAAAGAAAAAAAAUAGAGGAUGUAUCUGUAUUUGCUGCAUACAUACGCUUCUCUAACAAUGCAUUUCUGGACAAGGAACAGAGACACUUCAAGGAGUAACACUUUUUUUUUUUUUUUUGGUGUGUGUGUCUAUGCUUUAAACUUACUAUGUGAUCAUUUUUGCUGUGCUGCUUUGUUCAUGUACUGUGAGAAACAGUGAAAAAUAGUUCUCCAUUUAUCUUCUUUCCCCCUUUAUUGAGUAUUAUACCAGCCAUGCAAACACAUCUUCCUUGGGCUGAAGAGAUUCAUUAUGUUUGGUUACUUCUUAUAUGAAAGCCACUACUGUUGUCCUCCGUGUAUUUUCCAGCCCCCAGGCAUCCUCCUCUGUGAGGCGGGACCACAACUGCAGGAAGCCCAGCGGGGGCUACAGAGAGCGGCGAGCAGGAAGGAAGUCAGACCAGACAGCACUAUCUCAAGGAGACUCUUAGCAUCCUUUUAGACACCUUUCGCUGUCUCCGAGAAUUGAACUUAUGUCAGCUGACUACAAAGACAUGAAGAAGCAUCUCACAAAACUGAGGACCAAGAGAAGCCCAGUAGCAAGGGAAGCUGUUCUGAAUAGGUCUGAAUCAUCUCCAGACUUUGUGUCCCCCCUCAGGGGUAAGUAUGAGGGUGCCCAAGCACUGGGGGCCCGGGAGCCCUGUCUGGGAGCGGGGGGGUGGGGUGGGGACACGAACACAGCCCCUCCUGCAGCCGUAUCCUGGCCAGGCAUGAGGACACGGGGACAAGGGGACUCCAGGCCCUAGCCUCCACCCCUGCCUCUCCUGGAGCAAGCCACUGAGGGACCUUUGGAGAGACAUCCACAGCCCGAGGGGGCCAGGAAUGGCCCAGAGCGGUGAGCCCAGCGGUUCGGGGGGAAUGGAAGCUGCAGAGAGCUGCCUCUGUGGCAGAACCUGUGCAAGACCUCUGGGAAAACUCUCAUUGCUUCUGUCCUGCAUUCUGUUUGCAGAGGUUUUGUUGUUGUUGUUUGUUUGUUUGUUUGUUUUUGAUGUUGUAAAAAGAUGGAAGCACAGGCUCACUUCCUAAAGAAAACAAAAAACAAAACCAACCAAUGAAAAGAAACAAACAUAGGAACACCCUACGAAAACAAAAACAAAGCUUCAGCUUUGUUUUAAUCUUAAUGUGGAAACACCACGCUAAGAUUUCGAGAGAGCUUGCCACUGACCCCAGAGCACACACGACAACCCUUCCUAAUGGGCAGCAGAGCAAGGGCCAUGGGCGCGCAGCACCGAGCAGCCCCCAUGGCUCUUGAGAGGGCGCGCAGCAGCUGAGUGCAAAUGUGUGGAAUUAAAGAAAAACACCACCUCUAUGUUUUUUCUCCCCAAAGCCUUCAAAUGUCCACAAGAACAAGCAGCAUAGUUCAUGAUGAAUGGACUAGAGGGAAGAAAUCAGACCCGAACCACAGAGAAACAAAGAGCUAAGAGCAGAAGCAGAAGCAACCCCCCG
ensembl:lncRNA